AAGUGGAGCAAUCCAUGAGUAAAGUGGCGACCGGGUGAGUAACACGUGACUAACCUACCUUUCGGUGGGGAAUAACCUCGGGAAACCGGGGCUAAUACCGCAUAAUGUCUUCGGACCAAAGGAGCAAUUCGCUGGAAGAGGGGGUCGCGGCCGAUUAGCUAGUUGGCGGGGUAACGGCCCACCAAGGCAAUGAUCGGUAGCCGGCCUGAGAGGGCGCACGGCCACACUGGAACUGAAACACGGUCCAGACUCCUACGGGAGGCAGCAGUGGGGAAUUUUGCGCAAUGGGGGAAACCCUGACGCAGCAACGCCGCGUGGAGGAUGAAGCCCCUUGGG
rnacentral:rRNA from 1 species